UGCUAGCGUAGUUACUCGUGCGCAGAAACGCAGAAUUGGAGAUGACAUUGUUCUGUCUGACACUUUUAUGUCACCCGUGUUCACUGAAGAAAGUUCAGGGUCAGAUCAGAAGGGCACGGAUGAUGUUCAGCAUGAUAAAUAUUCCGCUGAGUCUGAAUUGUUAGCUGAACCAUUUUCUCAUGAACGGAUUAAGAUCGCACAACGAGAAGACGUGUCACUGACUAAAUGUUUUUCUGCUGCUGAAAGUACAGACUCAGAUAAAACCAGUUUUGUAAAAUAUGUGAUUGAAAAUGGGCUACUGUUAAGGAAAUGGCGUCCUAAUUCAGAUGUGGAGAAUGAGUGGGAGGUUGUGUGCCAGAUCGUUUUGCCUACUGCCUACCGCAAACAAGUGUUGAGUUUGGCACAUGAUCACGAGUUAGCAGGUCAUUUAGGUGUGACAAAAACCUAUAACCGCAUUCUCCAACAUUUCUUUUGGCCUGGCUUGAAGAGAGAUGUAUCUCAGCAUUGCCGUACUUGUCAUGAAUGUCAGGUGAUGGGUACCUGAGAAAUUUUUGGAGGAACAAGAAAAGCCAGUCGCUGUUCCUACUGAGGUUUUAGCCGUUGCUGCUAUUGCUGUGCCUGACUCCACUGCAGUGAAUGAUGAGGUUCUGCUGCCAUCUCCUGGUGUGACUUCUGAUUGGACGAUCCGUCUGUCAAUCUGCUGGCGUAAGGGUCUGACGUCAGGGAUCGCGCUACCAAUCGCUGGUUACGGAG